rnacentral:lncRNA from 1 species
UAACUUAUCAUUUUGUAGUAGCAUUAACAUAUUAAAAUUAUAUUUUGGAAGUCUAAAGAACCAAACUAAGCAUUAUAUAAUGUUGCUGAGAUUUAAAACUCGUGUCCCAUAUUAAGUGUCCCAAUAGUGCUCAAAUAGUAGUCUAUAACCUCAUUGCGUGAACUUGAGCUGCUACAAAUCCAUGGUGAUGAUGGUUAUGAAUUGGCAGUUGACCAACUCCUAUAUACCCAUUGUUUUCUUCCAUUUUCAAUUGAUUCAAACCAUAUAACAAAGCCAUGAACUGGGCAGCCAUUUCUCUAUAAAUGGCAGCCAAACUCUCAUUUCUCAAUUUUCUAUAAACUUUUCUAUUAAGUAUACUUUUAGACUGUGAGUUACUGAGAAUUUAGGAAGUAUAAACAGAGGAGUGAGGGUGUUCAAUUCAAGCUUCAAGGAGGUAUAAAUUCUUUUUUUGUUUUUAAAAUUGAGUUUUGUCAAAUUCUUGGAUUGCUUGAAUUCUCUGUCAAUUAGUAUGAAUUAGCAUGCCAUUGUGUUGUUUAAGUAUGUAUGCAUGUCUAGAAGCAUUCUGAGUUGCAGUAUAAGAUGUAUUAGUA